GUCCAUGGCCAUACCACCCUGAAUGCACUCAAUCUCGUCUGAUCUCAGAAGCUAAGCAGGGUUGGGCCUGGUUAGUACUUGGAAGGCAGGAACUCCUUGUGUCAUAAAUA
rnacentral:rRNA from 1 species